ACCAAAUGGAUCCUUAAUUCUGUGGCUAAAAAGAAAAAGUAUUCAAGAAUAGUUUCUUUAGAAUUGGUAUGAAGAUGUAAACCUGAAAAUAUGGAGAGGGGGAGGGGCCAAACUUUCGGAAUUUCUGCAAGAAAACGAGGGAAAUGCAGAAGGAUUUUGAUCCAAGGCUAGCACUAGUUGAAACAGAAUUGCCUAAAGUUAGGAGCCCUUAGGGUUGGGGAUUCAGCAUUUUGGGAUAAGAAUUGCCUCACGAGACUAUGUCUGAGGGCCAGGAACCAAAUAAGAACUCGUAUUUAGUUAUAAGGGCACCUGGUAUGCAAGCUCUGAAAGUUCCGCUAAGUAAGCUUCUCUCACAACAGAGGGUAUCUCGGUGUGGGAAUGGUCUGGCUCCGCACUUGAUGAGGGAGAUGAAGCAGCAACGUUGUUCUCCAAUUAUCUUGGAAAACCCAAUCGACUAAUGCGCUUUAAUGAAGCCUCAGAAACGAGCCCGUGGAUACAAGGUUAAAUUUUCCGAUGGAUAUCCAUUUCUCAUGCUAUCCCAGGGAUCAUUAAACGCGUUAAAUACCCUUCUCCUAGUGAAUCGUUUUAGACCCAAUAUACUCGUUGAUGGAUGCUAGCAAUUUGCAGAGGAUUUGUGGAAGGAGAUCCUAAUAAACAAGUCGACGUUUUAUGGUGUUAAAUUAUGCAGUCACUGCAAGGUAAAAACUAUAUUCUCCCUCCACAAAUUUUCUGUGCCAUAACAUUACACUGUUACUUUUCUUAACCGCGUAUUAGAUACCCACAAUCAAUCAAGAAACUGCAGAAAUGGAGUCUGAACCAACUCAAACUCUCAAGCAGUUCCGUUCGGAUCAAGUGUCAACAGGGAAGUGUGUUUUUUGGGCAGAACAAAAAAAAAAAUGUUCAGCUUGCAAGCAUUUGAAGUGGGCAAAAACUAUACUAUACUAUACUAUAGCAGCCGAU